UUCUUGCUCCCCAAGUUUUUGCAUCUGCCAACGUUUCUCAAAAUUUCUCGAGAGUUUCAGUUUGUUCGGAACAAAAGAUUUGAGAAGUAUUAUCCAUCUGAUCAACAUCAAUACCAUUUGUGCUGAAUCCAUUAGCAUUUACAAAUUGUUCUGUCUGUAUUUCUACUAGAAUGGGAGAAAGAAAAGUGCUAAACAAGUAUUAUCCACCGGACUUCGAUCCGGCAAAGAUUCCACGGCCGCAGCAGCCAAAGAAAGAGCAAUUCCCUAUCCGCAAUAUGCUUCCCAUGAGCAUUCGUUGUAAAACUUGUGGGAAUUCCAUGUAUAAGGGUACUAAGUUUAAUUCGCGCAAAGAAAAAGCCAUCGGGGAGACUUAUUUGGGAAUUCGAGUUUUUAGGUUCUAUAUUAAAUGCAGCAAAUGCUCAGCGGAAAUAACAUUCAAGACAGAUCCACAGAAUUCGGAUUAUGCUCUUGAGUGCGGUGCCACGAGAAAUUUCGAACCUUGGCGUGCAGAGGAUGAAGAGAAAAAGAAAAGGAUUAUGGAUGAUAUGGGAGAUGUGAUGAACUCAUUGGAGAAUAGAUACUUGGACUCCAAGAGGAAACUGGAUAUCCUAGUUGCUUUGGAUGACGUCAAGUCUAUGAACUCGAGACAUGAAAGGGUGAGUGGAGAUUCGAUGCUCGAAGCUUUGCAACAGAAAAGCGAGAUGAAUGAAAGGAAAUUGGAAGAAGAGGAUGAAGCUCUUAUAGAAUCCGUGUUUAGGGGGGCACGAAAGCAUAUUUUACGAAGGAUUGAUGAUGAAGAAGAUUUAACCACGUUUUCACCAGAGAAGAGAAGAAAGCUAUCCACCGAGCUUGCUAACCCAACGGAUUCUUUACCGAAAGGCAGUGUUCAUGUCAGCUUCAAGAGUCGAAAUAAUGGUAAAUUCAUUCUGAAGUCUUCAUCGGUUACAGUUUCUAUUCUUAAGAAACCACUUCCCGAUUCCAAUAGUAACAAGGCAGGAAAGGAGAAGCCGAAGAAUCAGGAGGCGGGAUCCAUUGCAAGCAGUGGAUUACAAUCAUUAUGCCAACAAUAUGGAGGUAAUGAAGACGAUUGAUCGCAAAGAACCAUCCACUUGUGUCAGAUUGGUAGUGUAAUUGUAUUUGUAUUUAGUUUGGUGAGAGGCUUGUUUCAUAGUUAGAGCUUGAUUUCUUGACUGAUACUAGCAGUAUAUUGUAUAUAGCAUCCAAUUUUUCAUGUAGAUUUUUGCAGUUUUUUAUCAUACGAUUUUGUGUUUCUUGAAGCUAAAUAAUUUACUUUCAUAUGCAUUGUGUUAGUAAAAAGGGAAGAUGGAAUAGGGAAAUAAAAAAUCAUCGAUCCUUCCCACGGUUGUGGUUCUUCUACUGUAUGCGAAGGCUUCUGAUUUAUCCAACAAUUGAGUAGCUUAUAUGUGAUAUAUAAUUAGCCGCUUGAGGAAUGUGCCCUUAGUAGAGCUAAUGUCAGAUUGUGGCUAGUUUUUGAUUAUAUCAACUUAGCUCGAUGCUAAUUUUAAUGGGUGAUGUGGACUUAUCGUUUAAAUUUCAGGUUAAUUUCAGGUUCUGUUCUGCAAGCAUUGACAACUGGUCUACCAUCACAAGCCUAUGCCCACUUUGCCAGAAUGAGUUUCAAUUGAUAACAUGUGUACCUGUAUAUGAUACGAUCAGUGGCAGCAAGAUUGAUAAGGAUGCACAUCCAAUGUAAGCACUAAUGACUUUGUUAUAGCUAUUUUGUUCUCUUAUAAUAUGGACUUUUCAUGGUAUGUUUCCUAUAGUGGUCUACUGAGUAACUGGAAGAGAGUUGGUGCAUAGAGAAGCUAUUUGUUUGGUUUGAGGAUGUGGGAAGGAGAAAAUUCUCUCCGACUCCAUGCAAUCCCUUUGAUCCAAAAAUUGGGAGGAAAGAGAACACAAUAAGCAACGUUAUUUGUUCAUAACCGAGGACAUACUUGUAACCACCUAUAUUUUGGAGGUCAAAGGAUAUAAUGAUCAAAGUUCAUUCGCCAGUACAUUUUAGUUAUAGAUGGAUUGUUUCUUGAACUUUGUCCCAUAUUAUUACUCUGACUAGAAUGAAGGAAGUAACAAGCUAAGCAAGAAACCAUGAAAAUAAGAUAGAGCAAUAGAGGGUAUGCCCGGUGUACUUGUAUAUGAAAGUUUUGAUCAAUGAAAUUUACUUUUACUGAUAAAAGAAAAAAUGAUAAGAGCAGCAGAGCAUUGAAAGACCCAAGAAAUGGCUUUGGAUGAACCACUUAUAAAUAGUCUCAUGAAGAUUGUUCCCCUCUACAUCUUGAGUCACGUUUUAUGGUUAUUGAAUCACUUCAUGCAUAGUUGCAUCACUUGCUUGAGAAACAUGAACAGAGUUCCAUGUAGCACUGGUUUUCUUGAAAGACAAAGCCUUCUCUGAAUAGACGAAAUUCAAAUGAGUAAAAUAGACUUAUGAGACCUUUGUUAGAUCCUCAAGCAUUAUCUUUAGGGGUGAUGUACAUCCAAUUCCACUUUAAGACCCAUUUAUGCACAACAGGAAGUGACCAUAUUUAGCCUUAGGAAGACGAAACUGUAAAACAUCAAAUGGCAGAGCAUGCCAUUGAAGACAAUGGAUAUAUAUUGUAGAACCAUUAUACCAAGGAAAGACAAAGGAAAUAAAAGAGAAAAAUCAAUGAACUGCUGAUUUUUUACAAGUGAUGCCUCUAAUCUCUAAAGAAACCUACAAAACACAGUCAAGUGUUGCGCCUGAACUAGACGUUCUUUAUCAUCACGAGAAGAAAAUAAAUAGCAUCCUCCUUUUCAAAAUUGGCAUCUUAUGUAUGAACUCUUAGCUAGAUGGUGCCAAUCCUAUAAUUUUUGUUUUCUCAAUUAAGAAAAGCACUUGGAUCUAAUAUUGCCAGCCAGACACUUCCACCACACCUUGACACCAACCUGGAAUGGAUUGUGGAGCCUGAGAAGGCCUUGGGAACCCGGCAAUCACCCAGAGGACACCGUCACCGUCCUGUGUUUAAGGGGCACCAAAGCAUAUUAUAAGAAAUGAGGCGAAUGAAAGAAAAUUGGAAGAAGAAGAUGAAGCUCUUAUAGAAUCUGUGUUUGAGGGGGGCACCAGAAGAAGAUUUGCCUGUAUUUUCACCUGAGAAGAGAAGAAAGCUAUCUACUGAGCUUCCUAACCCAACGGAUUCUUCAAGGAAAGGCAGGUUUCUUGACAGCUUCAAAAGAAGAAAUAUACCAUUCACUCUAGAGUCUUCAUCCGUCACAAUUUCUAUUCUUAAGAAACCACUUCCUGAUUCCAAUAGUAACAAAGCAGGAAAGGAAGAGUCAAAGAAUUAGGAGGCAGGAUCCAUUGCAGGCAGCGGAUUACAAUCAUUAUGCCAACAAUAUGGAAGUGAUGAAGACGAUUGAUAGCAAAGAACCAUCCCACCUGUGCCAGAUUGGCAAUGUAAUUGUAUUUGUAUUUAGUUGGGGGUAAGGCAUGUUCCGUAGUUGGAUCUUGAGUUUUUGACUAAUACUUGGAAUAUAUUAUAUUUAGCAUCC